AGCGAACGCUGGCGGCAGGCCUAACACAUGCAAGUCGAACGAACCCUUCGGGGUUAGUGGCGGACGGGUGAGUAACACGUGGGAACGUGCCUUUAGGUUCGGAAUAACUCAGGGAAACUUGUGCUAAUACCGAAUGUGCCCUUCGGGGGAAAGAUUUAUCGCCUUUAGAGCGGCCCGCGUCUGAUUAGCUAGUUGGUGAGGUAACGGCUCACCAAGGCUACGAUCAGUAGCUGGUCUGAGAGGAUGACCAGCCACAUUGGGACUGAGACACGGCCCAAACUCCUACGGGAGGCAGCAGUGGGGAAUCUUGCGCAAUGGGAGAAAGCCUGACGCAGCCAUGCCGCGUGGAUGAUGAAGGUCUUAGGAUUGUAAAAUCCUUUCACCGGUGAAGAUAAUGACUGUAGCCGGAGAAGAAGCCCCGGCUAACUUCGUGCCAGCCGCCGCAGUAAAAC
rnacentral:rRNA from 1 species